AUGAACAACGAAAAUCCAGUCAGCAUUGCGUACUUUCAUACCAGAAUAAGACAGUCCACGCUUGAUUCAUUCAGAAGCCAAUUCGCAAAACCUGUUCGGACAAUCCAAAAUAAAAACAGAUUAACUAGCAAUUCAAGACCAAUUAACCAAACUAUCCAAACUAGAAAAAACAGUUCAGUACUAAUCCGUAACAGACUUUUUAAACUUCAAUCCAUCCUCACAAAUUUGGACCAACUUCUAUAA